rnacentral:rRNA from 1 species
AACGAACGCUGGCGGCAUGCCUAACACAUGCAAGUCGAACGAGACCUUCCGGGCUAGUGGCGCACGGGUGCGUAACGCGUGGGAACCUGCCAUUAGGUUCGGAAUAACUCCCCGCAUGGGUUGCUACUACCGGAUAAUGCCUUCGCACCAAGUAUUUAUCGCUUUUGGUUGGGCCGGCGUUGGUUUAGCUAGUUGGUGGGGUAUAGGCUUACGAAGGGGUCGAUCCAUAGCUGGUCUGGGAGGAUGACCAGGCACACUGGGACUGGGACACGGCCCGGGCUGGGAAGGGAGGAAGCAGUGGAGGAUAGUGGACGAGGGGCGGAGGGCUGGUCGAGCAAUGCCGGGUGAGGGAUGAAGGCCUUAGGGUGGUAAGGCUCUGUUAGCCGGGAUGAUGAUGACGGUACCGGGAGAAUAAGCUCCGGCUAACUCCGUG